CUACGGGGGGCAGCAGUGGGGAAUAUUGCACAAUGGGCGCAAGCCUGAUGCAGCCAUGCCGCGUGUAUGAAGAAGGCCUUCGGGUUGUAAAGUACUUUCAGUAGGGAGGAAGGUGGUUAAGUUAAUACCUUAAUCAUUUGACGUUACCUACAGAAGAAGCACCGGCUAACUCCGUGCCAGCAGCCGCGGUAAUACGGAGGGUGCAAGCGUUAAUCGGAAUUACUGGGCGUAAAGCGCGUGCAGGUGGUUUGUUAAGUCAGAUGUGAAAGCCCUGGGCUCAACCUAGGAAUCGCAUUUGAAACUGACAAGCUAGAGUACUGUAGAGGGGGGUAGAAUUUCAGGUGUAGCGGUGAAAUGCGUAGAGAUCUGAAGGAAUACCGGUGGCGAAGGCGGCCCCCUGGACAGAUACUGACACUCAGAUGCGAAAGCGUGGGGAGCAAACAGGAUUAGAUACCCGUGUAGUC
rnacentral:rRNA from 1 species